CACACACACACUGCCCGUCUCAGACAAACACAGUCAGGCUGUGGUCAUGGUAGUCCUGUGGUCAAGGUCACGGUCCAAACUGUCCACUGGAAUGUCUGGAUGGCACAUGGCCUCAACCUGUGGAUCCCAAUAUAACCUCAAUGUAGUCUCAACAUGGCCUCAACCAACAGAUCCCAAUAUAACCUCAAUGUAGUCUCAAGAUAGAAUGUAUUGCAAAUGGCACCCUAUCCCCUAAAUAGUUCACUUUUGACCAGGGCCCAUAGUAGUGGACUAUAUAGGGAAUAUGGUGCGAUUUGAGACAUACCCUUCGUCCCAAUAUAGCCCAGGGCAGCGCUGGCUGAGGGUUGCUGCACUUUCCACUAUAAACAGGCUCACGCAAGAGGACACAGGCUCAACGGAGAGGUCAUGCUGCUCAAUUGACUGUAAAUGUAGUAGUACUAACCCUGUCUGUCUGUCUGUCUGUCUGUCUGUCUGUCUGUCUGUCUGUCUGUCUGUCUGUCUGUCUGUCUGUCUGUCUGUCUGUCUGUCUGUCUGUCUGUCUGUCUGUCUGUCUGUCUCUACUAUUGUUUAAUGUAAAUUGUUAUCUGUUCUUCUACUCAACCUACCUCAGGUUAACCCCUAGUUAAUAGAUAAUAGGUUCAUGUUGGAUCUCCAACAUGCCAAAGGUAAUGAGCUGUCAGAUUAAAGAAUUACCUGCUGACACAUCACAUCAACCAGGUGUGAUGCUUGGCCCAAACUCUGUUCUCUCUCUCUCUCUCUGUCUCUCUCUCUCUCUGUCUCUCUCUGUUCUCUGGUCUCUCUCUCUCUCUUUUUCUCUCUCUCUUUUUCUCUCUCUUUCUCUCUCUCUGUCUCUGUCUCUCUCUCUCUCUCUCUCUCUCUCACCUUCAGACAGGAAGGUGUAUGUCAGUUGUCAGAGCAGUAUAUAGUUGGCAGCAGUUUCUGGCAGCAAUCUCUGAUUCCCAUCGUGUUGCUAUGAGAAGGAGGUAAGAUGUACUGUAGGGCCUAAUACAGACCAGACAUACUGUACCUGAAACACCGUUGUAUUGCUGGGAAUGAUCAGCCGUUCAACUGGGAAAAUACAUCUGUCCUUUUAACCGUUUAUACUAUAUAAUACACACAUGACAACAGCAACGGAUAACACCACAUGCUCUUGGUGAAAUGUCUAAACCAGUGGUCACCAACCGGUCGAUCGCGGUCGACUUGUCAAUGUCCAAGGCAUUUCUAGUCGAUCGCGGUCGACUUGUCAAUGCCCAAGGCAUUUCUAGUCGAUCGC
rnacentral:lncRNA from 1 species